rnacentral:rRNA from 1 species
GCGACUGCUAUUUGGGUGAGGAUAAACCAUGCGAGUUGUAUGGGAUACCUAAAAAUCCCAUGGCGAACUGCUUAGUAACACAUGUUCAACUUGACCUAUGGAGAAAAAUAACCUCGGGAAAGUAUCAUAGUUGUUUAAAGAACAUAUCAAAAGAUUAUGAUACCCCCGAAACUGAGGAUAAUAUUUCAUAGUUGAAUAGGCUUGGAAAAGUUUUUCAAUGAAUGGGAUAGGGAGAAUGGUUCUUAUCUGCCAUAGGAUAGGAUCGUGGUCGAUUAUGGUUGUUGGUGAGGUAACGGCUCACCAAGCCGAUAAUCGAUAGGGGCCGUGAGAGCGGGAGCCCCAAGAUGGGUACUGAGACAACGACCCAGGCCUUACGAGGCGCAGCAGGCGCGAAACCUCCGCAAUACACGAAAGUGUGACGGGGUUACCCAAAGUGUUCAAUUUUGAACUGUGGUAGGUGAGUAAUGUUCCCUACUAGAAAGGAGAGGGCAAGGCUGGUGCCAGCCGCCGCGGUAAAACCAGCUCUUCAAGUGGUCGGGAUAAUUAUUGGGCUUAAAGUGUCCGUAGCCGGUUUGGUAAGUUCCUGGUAAAAUCGGGUAGCUUAACUAUCUAUAUGCUAGGAAUACUACUAUACUAGAGGGCGGGAGAGGUCUGAGGUACUACAGGGGUAGGGGUGAAAUCUUAUAAUCCUUGUUGGACCACCAGUGGCGAAGGCGUCAGACUGGAACGCGCCUGACGGUGAGGGACGAAAGCCAGGGGAGCGAACCGGAUUAGAUACCCGGGUAGUCCUGGCCGUAAACGAUGCAUACUAGGUGAUGGCACGGCCAUGAGCCGUGUCAGUGCCGUAGGGAAACCGUUAAGUGUGCCGCCUGGGAAGUACGGUCGCAAGGCUAAAAC